UGGGGAAUAUUGCACAAUGGGCGCAAGCCUGAUGCAGCCAUGCCGCGUGUGUGAAGAAGGCCUUCGGGUUGUAAAGCACUUUCAGCGAGGAGGAAGGUGGUGAACUUAAUACGUUCAUCAAUUGACGUUACUCGCAGAAGAAGCACCGGCUAACUCCGUGCCAGCAGCCGCGGUAAUACGGGGGGUGCAAGCGUUAAUCGGAAUUACUGGGCGUAAAGCGCACGCAGGCGGUUUGUUAAGUCAGAUGUGAAAUCCCCGGGCUCAACCUGGGAACUGCAUUUGAAACUGGCAAGCUAGAGUCUCGUAGAGGGGGGUAGAAUUCCAGGUGUAGCGGUGAAAUGCGUAGAGAUCUGGAGGAAUACCGGUGGCGAAGGCGGCCCCCUGGACGAAGACUGACGCUCAGGUGCGAAAGCGUGGGGAGCAAACAGGAUUAGAUACCCUGGUAGUCCACGCUGUAAACGAUGUCGAUUUUGGAGGUUGUGCCCUUGAGGCGUGGCUUCCGGAGCUAACGCGUUAAAUCGACCGCCUGGGGAGUACGGCCGCAAGGUUAAAACUCAAAUGAAUUGACGGGGUCAUAGCUG
rnacentral:rRNA from 1 species